AUUUAGAAUAUCUGGGAAAAUAAUUGACCUGGAGAAGCAUCUCUCAAAAAUGUGGUGAUAAUGGCAGGGACUGAUGACACUCUCUGUAAAGCUCCAAGAAGAAAGGAUAUACAGCAUUUCCCACUGUCUUCUGGUGACUGAAUUUUAAAAUUUCCUGAGAUCGAAUGAUUGCGGUGACUGACGGCAAACAUCCCCCAGGGGAGUUUCUGUUGCUGACACUACCUGACGGUUGCUAGGAU